rnacentral:rRNA from 1 species
AGAGCGAACGCUGGCGGCAGGCCUAACACAUGCAAGUCGAACGGACCCUUCGGGGUUAGUGGCGGACGGGUGAGUAACACGUGGGAACGUGCCUUUUGGUUCGGAAUAGCUCCUGGAAACGGGUGGUAAUGCCGAAUGUGCCCUUCGGGGGAAAGAUUUAUCGCCAUUAGAGCGGCCCGCGUCUGAUUAGCUAGUUGGUAAGGUAAUGGCUUACCAAGGCGACGAUCAGUAGCUGGUCUGAGAGGAUGACCAGCCACAUUGGGACUGAGACACGGCCCAAACUCCUACGGGAGGCAGCAGUGGGGAAUCUUGCGCAAUGGGCGAAAGCCUGACGCAGCCAUGCCGCGUGAAUGAUGAAGGUCUUAGAUUGUAAAUUCUUCACGGGACGAUAAUGACGGUACCCGAGAAGAAGCCCCGGCUAACUUCGUGCCAGUAGCCGC